UUCUUUUUCUUCUCUCUCUCCUAUGAUUUCUAACGCCGGCCUCCCCUCUCUCUUUCCCCUUCACCGGCGCCACCCACCCACUCUCUCUCCCUCUCUCACCAGCGUCCUUCUCUCUCUCCCUUGCUCUCUCUCUCUCUGGUUUGUUCCUGACGAAGCUGGAAAGAAAAAAGAAACAGAGGAAGCAAGACUCCUCAAUCAAUUUGAACUAGCAGUAUGAUCGGACGUGGAGCUUCAAGAAUAAACGAUUAGACAACGUGAAGUUAUCCGUAAAUUAAAUUGUCAAGAGAGUUAGCGGUUUAAAUUUACAGCAUGUCGAGUGGAUGUCAAUGGAUUGAAGGCGCGAGAUUCGAAGUGGUUAGUUUGUUUCGAAUUUACAGUUUUUAAUUCUGAAAUAUACUGUAUUUUUGUAGAUAAACUGUAUUGGUUGACAUUCUUUUCAGAGUUGUACUAUUUUUCUUAGAUUUUACAGACUGUUUUAAAUAUUGUUUGUUAAAAAAAGACU